rnacentral:rRNA from 1 species
CCUACGGGAGGCAGCAGUGAGGAAUAUUGGUCAAUGGACGAGAGUCUGAACCAGCCAAGUAGCGUGAAGGAUGACUGCCCUAUGGGUUGUAAACUUCUUUUAUAUGGGAAUAAAAUGUUCCACGUGUGGGAUUUUGUAUGUACCAUAUGAAUAAGGAUCGGCUAACUCCGUGACAGCACCCGCGGUAAUACGGAGGAUCCGAGCGUUAUCCGGAUUUAUUGGGUUUAAAGGGAGCGUAGGUGGAUUGUUAAGUCAGUUGUGAAAGUUUGCGGCUCAACCGUAAAAGUGCAGUUGAAACUGGCAGUCUUGAGUACAGUAGAGGUGAGCGGAAUUCGUGGUGUAGCGGUGAAAUGCUUAGAUAUCACGAAGAACUCCGAUUGCGAAGGCAGUUCACUGGACUGCAACUGACACUGAGGCUCGAAAGUGUGGGUAUCAAACAGGAUUAGAUACCCCGGUAGUC